CGUAGCCGCGGUAAUACGUAGGGUCCGAGCGUUGUCCGGAAUUACUGGGCGUAAAGAGCUCGUAGGUGGUUUGUCGCGUUGUUCGUGAAAACUCACAGCUUAACUGUGGGCGUGCGGGCGAUACGGGCAGACUAGAGUACUGCAGGGGAGACUGGAAUUCCUGGUGUAGCGGUGGAAUGCGCAGAUAUCAGGAGGAACACCGGUGGCGAAGGCGGGUCUCUGGGCAGUAACUGACGCUGAGGAGCGAAAGCGUGGGGAGCGAACAGGAUUAGAUACCCGCGUAGUCCCUGUCUCUUAUACC
rnacentral:rRNA from 1 species